rnacentral:lncRNA from 1 species
GGACUCUGCUGGGAUGGGUUCAAAGUAGAGAAAGUGCAAGAGGGAAGAGUUACCCGGGCUAGAGAGGACAGCGGGCCGCAGGUUUAGUCCUGGUUGUGGAGUGGGAUGCUGAGAUGGGUCUGGAGGGAUGCAGGAUGUUCUAGGCCGUUAGGAUGGUAAAUAGGGACCUCGCUCCGCGAGGGAUGCUGAACGGGGUCUGGAAGAAUGCAAGAUGUCCUGGUCCGGGCCAGGAAUGGUGUGAUGUGCAUGCUUUUAAUCCCAGCACUCAGGAGGCAGAGGCAAGUGGAUCUCUGUGAGUUCUUGGCCAACCUGGUCUAUAUGCUGGAUGUCAGAUCCCUGGGAGGAUAUGAGAGGAUGUUUCCAGAAACACCGAACUAAAAAGGAACGUCCAACCCUGAAUGUGGAGGACAUCCUCCUCUGGGCUGGGCUCCCAGACUGAGUAAGAAGAAAAUAAGUUGAGCUCGCCCCCCCCCCCCCCAGCGCUGUAGAUACAGUGUGACCAGUUACCAGCCAACCCCCUGUUGCGGUGCCUUUUUCUUUUUCUUUUUUUUUCUUCCCUACCACUAUGAACUGUUCACUCUUAAGCUGAGAGCUAAAAUAAACUCUUCCUUUUGUCCAGCA